CCUACGGGUGGCAGCAGUGAGGAAUAUUGGUCAAUGGACGGAAGUCUGAACCAGCCAUGCCGCGUGCAGGAAGACGGCUCUAUGAGUUGUAAACUGCUUUUGUACAAGGGUAAACCUGAAUACGUGUAUUUAGCUGAAAGUACUGUACGAAUAAGGACCGGCUAAGUCCGUGCCAGCAGCCGCGGUAAUACGGAGGAUCCAAGCGUUAUCCGGAUUUAUUGGGUUUAAAGGGUGCGUAGGCGGAUUGUUAAGUUAGAGGUGAAAUGUCGGGGCUUAACUCGGGAAGUGCGUCUAGUACUGUUGAGCUAGAGAGUGGAUGCGGUAGGCGGAAUGUAUGGUGUAGCGGUGAAAUGCUUAGAGAUCAUACAGAACACCGAUUGCGAAGGCAGCCUACCAAUGUAUAUCUGACGUUGAGGCACGAAAGCGUGGGGAGCAAACAGGAUUAGAUACCCCGGUAGUC
rnacentral:rRNA from 1 species